CUUUUCUUGUCAGUUUUUGAAGUAUGGCCUGCCCACUGACGUUUAUAGAGGUUGAAGGGCCGCGGUAUUUUGACCGUGCAAAGGUAGCAUAAUCAUUAGUUCUUUAAUUGUGAUCUGGUAUGAAUGGCUUGACGAGACACGAGCUGUCUUAAAGGUAUUAUUUAUUGAAUUUAGUUUUUGAGUUAAAAUUCUUAGAUGUUUUUAUGGGACGAGAAGACCCUAUAGAGUUUAACACCUAAUAUUUCUUUUCUUUUUGUUUGUUUAUCUCUUUUGAGCUUAUUAGGUGUUUUGUUGGGGUGAUGAGAGGAAUAAAAUUUAACUCCUCUUUAAUUUUUUAUAUUUA
rnacentral:rRNA from 1 species